ACUUUGCGAUAGGGAUAGAAGUGGAAAUCCUUUUUUUUCUUUUCACAGAGAAUUUUAAAAAAAAAAUUGGAACGGAUAGCCCGGCCUUUU
rnacentral:sRNA from 1 species